CCCCCCACUUAGCCCCACCUUUCCAGAACAGGUCCGUACAACAGCGGGACUGCAAGGUGUGUGUGUGUGUGUGUGUGUGUGUGUGUGUGUGGAUCUCAAGGGGGAGUUUUACACAGGUGUGUGAGACACUACUGCGUCUUCGUCUAGCGAGGCCGUCCUUCCAAAUGUCACGGAAACCUGGGCUUCUGAGGCCGACUGGAUCUCAAUGUUAUUACAUGUCUGUCGGUAAUGACGCCACUGUCUGAACCAGUAGGGGACUUUAACAGGGCUCGUACUCACAAAGCCUCUCAGAGUGGUCGUGCUGAUCUAGGAUCAGGUCCCCUCUUAUUCAUUAUGAUCUAGGAUCAGGUCCCCUCUUAUUCAUUAUGAUCUAGGAUCAGGUCCCCUCUUAUUCAUUAUGAUCUAGGAUCAGUUCACCUCUUAUUCAUUAUGAUCUAGGAUCAGGUCACCUCUUAUUCAUUAUGAUCUAGGAUCAGGUCCCCUCUUAUUCAUUAUGAUCUAGGAUCAGGUCCCCUCUUAUUCAUUAUGAUCUAGGAUCAGGUCCCCUCUUAUUCAUUAUGAUCUAGGAUCAGGUCCCCUCUUAUUCAUUAUGAUCUAGGAUCAGGUCCCCUCUUAUUCAUUAUGAUCUAGGAUCAGGUCCCCUCUUAUUCAAUAUGAUUUAGGAUCAGGUCCCCUCUUAUUCAUUAUGAUCUAGGAUCAGGUACCCUCUUAUUCAUUAUGAUCUAGGAUCAGGUACCCUCUUAUUCAUUAUGAUCUAGGAUCAGGUACCCUCUUAUUCAUUAUGAUCUAGGAUCAGGUCCCCUCUUAUUCAUUAUGAUCUAGGAUCAGGUACCCUCUUAUUCAUUAUGAUCUAGGAUCAGGUACCCUCUUAUUCAUUAUGAUCUAGGAUCAGGUACCCUCUUAUUCAUUAUGAUCUAGGAUCAGGUCCCCUCUUAUUCAUUAUGAUCAGUAGUAGUGCUGAUCUAGGAUCAGGUCCCUCUUAUCCAUUAUAACCUAAAGCCAAAACUGAUGCUAGAUCAGCACUCCUGUUCUGAGAUGCUUUGUGAACACGGCCCUCAUAUCUUAGAGCUGUGAUGUGGUGGCCAACUCUUGUCCUGGGAGCUACGCUCCUGCAGGGAGUUGUUCGGCCCAACAGUCAUCUUUGUUUUUCUGCUAUCCUCUCGUUUUGAGAAAGUGUAAAUAAAUAAAUACCUUUAUUUCA